GAUGAACGCUGGCGGCGUGCCUAAUACAUGCAAGUCGAGCGAACAGACGAGGAGCUUGCUCCUCUGACGUUAGCGGCGGACGGGUGAGUAACACGUGGAUAACCUACCUAUAAGACUGGGAUAACUUCGGGAAACCGGAGCUAAUACCGGAUAAUAUAUUGAACCGCAUGGUUCAAUAGUGAAAGACGGCUUUGCUGUCACUUAUAGAUGGAUCCGCGCCGCAUUAGCUAGUUGGUAAGGUAACGGCUUACCAAGGCAACGAUGCGUAGCCGACCUGAGAGGGUGAUCGGCCACACUGGAACUGAGACACGGUCCAGACUCCUACGGGAGGCAGCAGUAGGGAAUCUUCCGCAAUGGGCGAAAGCCUGACGGAGCAACGCCGCGUGAGUGAUGAAGGUCUUCGGAUCGUAAAAGUCUGUUAUUAGGGAAGAACAAAUGUGUAAGUAACUAUGCACGUCUUGACGGUACCUAAUCAGAAAGCCACGGCUAACUACGUG
rnacentral:rRNA from 1 species